UAGUUUGGAGAAAAUCAGCACAGAAACAUCAAUUGACUUUCAACUCAAUCUUAAACACUGGACUAUAUCUAAUAUGUUAUUCUUAGCACAUGAUCUUCAAUAAUCAUAAUAUUCUCAUUUAAGCCACAAAAUCAUGGUCUAGCAGUGUAGUAAGAAGUACUGCCAUUGUGUACUUGACAAAGAUAUGGAAAAAGCAACCAAAACUGAGCUUAAAAGGCAAUAAGUGCAGCUGGUGCAAAUAUGCUAAGUUGUGCGAACGGAUUUUUGUUGAGUAACUGCAGAAUCUGAUCAUACUGUUCUUUUGUAAAUGGAGACACUCCAAGUUGAGAUAGCUGAGUCAUUAUAUUCUCCUGUCCGUGUCCUGCAGUUUGGUUUACUCCAAUUGUAUUUGGAUUGCCCGCAGUCAUAUUGUUUGUCAGUAUACCAUUCUGUGGAACACCUUCCCCAAAUACAUUGUAGGUUGCACCAUUUCCUGCUCCCCCUCUCUUUUUCGACUUAAAAUCAGGAGGAUAUCCACUAUCUUGUAACAAUUCUCUUUACUAUGCCCCUUCAUCUUACAAAAAUCACAUGAGAUGUUGUAAUUUUUCUUAAACCUUUGGUUACCCACAACAGUUCUAGUAUAUAAUGCAACAUCAUAAUUUCCUGUAA